rnacentral:rRNA from 1 species
GACGAACGCUGGCGGCGUGCUUAACACAUGCAAGUCGAACGGAAAGGCCCUGCUUGCUGGGUAUUCGAGUGGCGAACGGGUGAGUAACACGUGGGUGAUCUGCCCUGCACUUCGGGAUAAGCCUGGGAAACGGGGUCUAAAACCGGAUAGGAGCCAUUUUUAGCGGGAGGGUUGGAAAGUUUUUUCGGUGUAGGAUGAGCUCGCGGCCUAUCAGCUGGUUGGUGGGGUAAUGGCCUACCAAGGCGGCGACGGGUAGCCGGCCUGAGAGGGUGGACGGCCACAUUGGGCCUGAGAUACGGCCCAGACUCCUACGGGAGGCAGCAGUGGGGAAUAUUGCACCAUGGGCGCCAGCCUGAUGCAGCGACGCCGCGUGGGGGAUGACGGCCUUCGGGUUGUAAACUCCUUUCGCUAGGGACGAAGCUUUUUGUGACGGUACCUAGAUAAGAAGCACCGGCUAACUACGUG